GGAAUCUAAAAGGAACAUGGCUGCAGGCGAGGAGCAGUCUCAAAACAGCCACUUCCAGCCAGUACACACAAAUAAACCUGAACGCUGAACUUCAAGAGAACCUCGUAAAAAGAGAAUUUUUGCAAUUAAAGUCACAAUGUGAGAAUCCUUUAUAUUGACUUUAAAAUCAAGCCAGUAAUAGACAAAACCAUUAAAGUGACAGAGCCUGGAGCGACUGUGUGCUGCUUUACAAUGAAAUGGCUUGUUUUCUCAUACUUUGCUGCUGACACAGUUGCCAUAUUAGAACAAAAUAAAUGGUUAGCGUCCUUGUUAUUAUCUCUCUUAAACCCAGUUGAACGGUCUGAACGCCUGCCAUUGUUCAGUCUCUGUGAUAAGGGGCAUGUGAUUCACCACUACGGCUCAGUAAAUGAAGGAUGGAGAUGAGCCACUGACAUGAAUACCCUGCCCUUGACUGAGCCAGGAUGCGAUCUCACGACUGCAUGUGAAAGCGCUCACUGGCACGGUGCCCGUCAGAUCGAGACGUCAGAGCCGCACACACUCACGCUGGCACGGGUCCCAUCGCUGCGUCCGCCCAUGCGAGGCCACCGGGCUGUGACGUUACAGAGGGAUAAUUUUGGGAUGACGCAUGCCGGUUCUCUGCGUGGAAUCAUUUUGGCUGCAUGGGUUUUUCUGGCUCAAUUAGCAGACUCUCUUUCUGCUGAAGGGGGAUUCAGCAUGUGACAGAGAGCGAGAGAGAGAGAGAGAGAGAGAGAGCACAGAACGGGUCGAGUGUCCUGUGUGUUUGUGUGUGUCCCGACGGCCCGCAGCAUUACCCAGUCUUAUGGAUCGGAGCCCCACAGAGCCGGACUUAACAAGCCUGGACUGCAGCAAUACUUGCUGAUCUGCUGAAUCCCACUGAUGUUAAUUGAUGGGCUAAAUUGGCCUUGGAAAUUAAUAUACCCAUGCCGGGCAGACCUGACCAGGCUUGCCACCAAAACAAGAGCCUGCGGAGUCAUUACAGAUGUAAAACACUGGUUCUAAGAGCCGAUUAUCAGCUUUAGAGAAAGCAAUCAUCAAACACAUGUUCUCUGUACCGACAACACAAAUUGACACCAGUAUCUUUGAGCUCACAUAAUGCUGCUGCUUUCCUCUUCUAACAAGCCCCGAUAAUCUGAAGAACCAUCAAACUUACUGACCUGAAGGUGAGAAACUUAUGGAAGAAAAAUAAUAUCACUUUGAAACAUAAAAGCAUGUUGAAUAGCAUUAACUGAAAAAAUAAUGCAUUGCAGUAACAGUGUUUGCUUUUUAAUGUCUUGUAUUUUCAGGGCUUGCAUUGUUAGGUCCUGAAAUGUAACAAGUAGUACAAGUUGUACAGUGUUAAACAACUUCUUAAUCUUUAAUAUAAAAACAACAACAUAUCUACAAAUAUAGUUUGGGAACAGCAAGUUUUUGAAAGAAGUAUCUUCUGUUCAUCAUCAAGGCUUCCUUUAUUUGAUCAAAAAUACAGAAAAGACAGUAAUAUUGUGAAAUAUUAUUACAAUUUAAAAUAAGUUUUCUAUUUUAAUAUACUUAAAAAUAUAAUUUAUUCAUGUGAUGCAAAGCAUGUCUUGACUAUCAUUUUUUUUUAUAUAAAUUUAACACAUCCUUGCUGAAUAAAAGUAUUAAUUUCUUUCAAAAGAGUUUCUAUUUUUAAUAAAUGCUGUUCUUUAACUUUUUAUUCACCAAAGAAUCUUGAAAAAAGUAUCAGGAUCCAAACAAAUAUAAAAAAAAAAAUAAUAAUAAUAAUAAUAAUUACAACAUUGAUAUAAUAAGUCAGCAUAUUAGAAUGAUUUCUGAAGGAUCAUGUGACACUGGAGACUGGAGUAAUGAUGCUGAAAAUACAGCUUUGAUCACAGCAAUAAAUGACAUUUUAAAACAUAUAUUCACAUAGAAAACAGCUAUUUUAAAUUGUAAUAAUAUUUCACAAUAUACCGUAUUUUUGGUCACAUAAAUGCAGCCUUGCAGAAGAGCAGAAGAGACUAUAUAUUCAAGCACUUGUGGAUGGACUGAAAGAGAAUAAUUCACUGGUCUGUUAUUUCUGUGCUCUUAUUGUGUCUCCAGACCAUUUGCUAUGUGCUCAGACUGUCAUGCUACACACACCAAACAAUUCAGACAGACACAAAAAGAUGUCUAACAGGUCAGCAGUGAACAUGCCGCAGCUCUUUUGAGGAGUCUGAUUAGACAGGCAUUCAUGCAUGGCACGGCAAUAUGGCACAAAGAAAAGCCACUACGAUGAGAUGAUUUCAGCCGUUAGACACUUUGGUUAGACACCUGUGGACCUCUAUUUGACAACAUGAUCUGAUAAUGAGAGAUACUGAGCGGCUUAUUACGAACACUUCAAUAGCAAAGAAUACUGUGUUAUAAUAUCAAAGUAAUAUGAACAUAAAGAGCAUUUUUCAGACUUUGUAGUCGUUCUAACUGCUGGUAAGAUGUCUAAUUCUGUUGAAUUGAAAGAGUGCUCAGUGUGGGUCAGGGAUGUUCUUUACUUCACAAAAUGAGAGAAAGUUAGAUACUCUCUUCAUCGAUCCAGCAGUAUGUUUGUCAAGCACACGUCCAAACUCUCCAGCUUGAUCCUCCCCACCCUUGAUGUACUUUCCAAUUCUGUAUUGCUUGGUGAAGGUAUUGUAGGAUUGUGUUUAUGUGAGAUACUGUAUUCAGAAUGUAUUUCUUUCCUUUUCUCUUUUUGUGUUUAUGUAUUUUUUAAAACUUCAGUGUAUUUGCUCACUAUCACUGUUAUUUUUUCUCUGUUGUCUCUGCUUUUUUCAUUCUACCUUUGUAAUGUUUCUUUAAAAUGUAUAAAUAAAUUAUUUUAAAAAAGAAAAAGGAAAAAAAAAACAAAUAUGCAGCAUUCCAUUUAGGGAUACUUCAAUUCUACACUGUAAAAAUAAAUCUUGUUUUGAAGAAUAAAAUGUAUAUUUUAUGAGAAAA
ensembl:lncRNA